AAAUGAAGAACUAAACUAUUACAAUUAAUUUGAUUUAACUGAGUUAGAUUUUUUAUUUUUGUCAACUUGUUGGUUUUCAUUAAACCCAUUUGAAAUAGGAUUACAUAUGACAUCUUCGCGUGUUCACAUAUUUAAACACACGUGUAAGGAUAAAAAAGAAAACUAGCAACGUGGCAAUAGAGAAACAUGGAAAUCAGAAUCAUCUUCCACUCCGUCGGUAAGGUUGAAACCACCGACUUGGCCACCAUCUUCUCCGCCACAAAGCCACUUUCACCCCAAGCUUGUACUCCUUGUGCUCCAACCCCUUGCCAUAACCGCUACUUGAGAUUGCUUUAUCCAUCAUCACCGAUAAUUAAAUCAAAGAGAAACUUAGAUGAUUUAAGAGGCAAGUUCUUCAUUGGACCAUCUUAAACAGAUGCCAACUCUACUGAACUUCUCUUUAACCAGCCAAGAUAAUUUCAUCUCUCCAUCCUCUUUCGCUAAAAAGAUAUUUUACUCCUAACCGAUUAAAUCCACUUUAUGGAUGAGUAAAGAUUGAUUCCUUUUAAAGAAAGAUUUUGUGCAUAAAUCAAUGAUGUAGAACAAAACAAGCUAAGUAGAACGGGAUAUAAAGAGAAUUUGCAGAGGAGGAGAUUCUCAAUCCGCCGAUCCGAUCGGAGAGAUCGGAGUUAUUGUCUUCAACCAACAAACCGAGAAAGGUAAGAGUGGAGCUCUGCUCAGUUUGAUUGAAGAAAUCACACCAAAAUUGCCAUCGCGAAGUUGAAUCCGCAACAGGAAAACGAAAUCCGAGAUCGAACUAUUUUACAAACAAAAAACGAUUCGAUCUCUCCCCCUCCCCCCACCCUCUGAAUGAUAUGGUUUUGGUAAGAGGGGUUGAGUGAAAUUUUUUCUCUCUCUAGAAAGGGAGAGAGAAUCCAAAAUUAUUAACUGAGUUAGAUUAAAAAUUGUUCUAGUUUAAUUUGAAGAAAUAUACGUAACAC
rnacentral:lncRNA from 1 species